AACGUAGGACGCAAGCGUUAUCCGGAGUUACUGGGCGUAAAGGGCGUGUAGGCGGCUGUUCAAGUUCGUCGUGAAAGACCCCGGCUCAACCGGGGGUGGUCGAGGGAGACUGAACAGCUGGAGGACGGUAGAGGGACAGGGAAUUCCGGGUGUAGUGGUGAAAUGCGUAGAGAUCCGGAGGAACACCAGUGGCGAAGGCGGCCACCUGGACGGUGACUGACGCUGAGACGCGAAAGCGUGGGGAGCAAACAGG
rnacentral:rRNA from 1 species